AGAGUUUGAUCAUGGCUCAGAUUGAACGCUGGCGGCAUGCCUUACACAUGCAAGUCGAACGGUAACGCGGGGCAACCUGGCGACGAGUGGCGAACGGGUGAGUAAUGCAUCGGAACGUGCCCAGUUGUGGGGGAUAACUGCUCGAAAGAGCAGCUAAUACCGCAUACGACCUGAGGGUGAAAGCGGGGGAUCGUAAGACCUCGCGCAAUUGGAGCGGCCGAUGUCGGAUUAGCUAGUUGGUGGGGUAAAGGCCCACCAAGGCGACGAUCCGUAGCUGGUCUGAGAGGACGACCAGCCACACUGGGACUGAGACACGGCCCAGACUCCUACGGGAGGCAGCAGUGGGGAAUUUUGGACAAUGGGCGCAAGCCUGAUCCAGCCAUGCCGCGUGCGGGAAGAAGGCCUUCGGGUUGUAAACCGCUUUUGUCAGGGAAGAAAUCCUUUGGGCUAAUACCCCGGGGGGAUGACGGUACCUGAAGAAUAAGCACCGGCUAACUACGUGCCAGCAGCCGCGGUAAUACGUAGGGUGCAAGCGUUAAUCGGAAUUACUGGGCGUAAAGCGUGCGCAGGCGGUUGUGCAAGACAGGUGUGAAAUCCCCGAGCUCAACUUGGGAACUGCACUUGUGACUGCACGGCUAGAGUACGGUAGAGGGGAGUGGAAUUCCGCGUGUAGCAGUGAAAUGCGUAGAUAUGC
rnacentral:rRNA from 1 species